GUGGGACAACAUUCCACAAUCAACAGCCUGAUCAACUCUACUUUUAAAGGUGAUUUUCUAACAUUUCGACCCUGGGAGCGUGAGCAGCGGUGGGCAGCGUUUUCCAGGAGGUUUGCCUACAACUCCAGUGAGCAGCGGUGGGCAGCGUUUUCCAGGAGGUUUGCCUACAACUCCAGUGAGCAGCGGUGGGCAGCGUUUUCCAGGAGGUUUGCCUACAACUCCAGUGAGCAGCGGUGGGCAGCGUUGUCCAGGAGGUUUGCCUACAACUCCAGUGAGCAGCGGUGGGCAGCGUUGUCCAGGAGGUUUGCCUACAACUCCAGUGAGCAGCGGUGGGCAGCGUUGUCCAGGAGGUUUGCCUACAACUCCAGUGAGCAGCGUUGUCCAGGAGGUUUGCCUACAACUCCAGUGAGCAGCGGUGGGCAGCGUUUUCCAGGAGGUUUGCCUACAACUCCAGUGAGCAGCGGUGGGCAGCGUUUUCCAGGAGGUUUGCCUACAACUCCAGGAAAGGAAAGUACCUGGAUGUCUGUAUGUUCUCCAGCUGUUGUAGAUGGAGAAACAUCAGUAUAAUAAAAAUGGUGUAAAGUUUUAGUAUCCUGACAGAAAAAGAGCAGAAUGAAAUGAGGACCGUCCUUGUAACUUGCCAUGCAGGAGAAAAGAUCCAUGGAAAAGGGUAAACAAAGAACUAUUCAGUCUGUAUCACUGAAGAGUUACAGAUCGCACAGUAGAAAUUAAGAGAAUGUACCUGAUUUUAAGCCGACAUUCAGAGAUUACCGUGAAUGUGUUCUCUGCUAAAGCAGGAACAUUGCCUUUAAAUUUAACACGCUGGAACGCUGAACUUUUGCGAUACGGAUUGAAUAAAUCCCUUAAUGCUCCCAAUUCUGAGGAGUAGUUUUAGGCCAGGAUCCAAGAUACGUGUAAUGCACUGCUCUAUAAUAACAUGACUUUUAAAAGGUAAUUUUACGCUUGAUGCACCUUUUGCCGUGAAUGCAAAUCUCCACAAACAAAAACAUGCCUUUAAAAGGAUCAUUGUCAGCUGUCCAGUGCACUACUCUAUAACGCGCCUUGGAAAACACUCAACAGUUCUUGGAUGUAGUCUUAAUACUGAUCUUGUAAGGUUAUAUCACUCCUAUUGGCCAUGACAACGUCAUCCGGUAAUAGUGCCUUCAGAAAGUCUUCACACCCCUUGACUUUUCACAUUUUGUUACAACCUGAUUUUAAAAUGGAUUACAUUGAGAUUCUAUGCCACUGAUCUACAUACAAUACCCCAUAAUGUCACAGUGGAAUUGUUUUUCCAAAUGUUUACAAAGGAAUUAAAAAUAACCUGGUUAUGACAAGCCUAAAGUUCAGGAGUAAAAUCACAAGUUGCAUGGACUGUGUGCAAUAAGUGUUUAAUAUUAUUUUUGAAUGACUACCCCACACAUACAGUUAACUGUAAGGUCCCUCAGUCGAGCAGUGAAUUUCAAGCACAGGUUCAACAAAGACCAAUGAGGCUUUCCAAUGGUUCGCAAAGAAGGGCACCUAUUGGUAGAUGGGUAAAAAAAAAAGCAGACAUUGAAUAUCCCUUUGAG